CCCAGACUCCUACUGGAGGCAGCCUUUUGGAAUUUUGUACCAUGGGCGCAAUCCUUAUCCAGCUAUUCCUCUUGUGGGAUUACUUCCCUCGGGUUUUCCACCACUUUAGUCUCUAACGAAACUUCUCUAUCGAAUCCCUCUCUCUGCUGCCUUUCCUCUAAGAAUCCUCCCCGGCUACCUACUUGCCAGCAUCCUCUUUAAUACGUCUUUUUCGAGCGUUAAUCUUAAUUACUGGGCGUUAAGGGUGUGCAGGAGGAGGAGUAAGAAAGAGGGGAAAUCCAAGGGAGUAACCUGGGAACCGCAUAUGUGACUGCUUGGCUAGAGUGCGUAAGAGGGAGGUGGAAUUCAAAGUGUAGCAGUGAAAUGCGUAGAUAGGGGGAAGAACAAAGAUGGCGAAGGAAGAAGCCUGGGACGCAACUGACGCUCAUACACGAAAGCGUGGGGAGAAAACAGGAUUAGAUACCCCCGUG
rnacentral:rRNA from 1 species